GAGAGAGAGAGAGAGAGAGAUUUACAUAUAGAGCACCCAUGAUUUGGUAAUAAUAACAGUGUGAUUCCCUGUUGUUGAAUAAGCAUCCACCAAUCAUAUGGUUUAUAAUGGUGUUUCCUGUGGAGAAAGAGAUUCUAUUAAUUAUAGAAUUCAUCAUUCAGCAACUUCUUUUCUUUCUUUAGUAGGUGCAAGCCAUACCCUUUUGGUCUUUUGACUUAAUGUUAUCAGGUUAAAUUUCCAAAAACCAAGGCUUUCAAUUUUUC
rnacentral:misc_RNA from 1 species